GACGAACGCUGGCGGCGUGCUUAACACAUGCCAGUCGAACGGAAAGGCCCUGCUUUUGUGGGGUGCUCGAGUGGCGAACGGGUGAGUAACACGUGAGUAACCUGCCCUUGACUUUGGGAUAACUCCCGGAAACUGGGGCUAAUACCGGAUAGCAGCUCCUGCUGCAUGGUGGGGGUUGGAAAGUUUCGGCGGUUGGGGAUGGACUCGCGGCUUAUCAGCUUGUUGGUGGGGUAGUGGCUUACCAAGGCUUUGACGGGUAGCCGGCCUGAGAGGGUGACCGGCCACAUGGGGACUGAGAUACGGCCCAGACUCCUACGGGAGGCAGCAGUAGGGAAUAUUGCACAAUGGGCGGAAGCCUGAUGCAGCAACGCCGCGUGCGGGAUGACGGCCUUCGGGUUGUAAACCGCUUUAGCCUGUGACGAAGCGUGAGUGACGGAAAUGGGUAAAGAAGCACCGGCUAACUACGU
rnacentral:rRNA from 1 species